UAACCUCAGCUCAGUGAUGAAUACCCGUUGAAUUUAAACAUAAAACUGGUCGCAGGAAAAGGAACUAACGAGGACUGCCCCAGUAACGCGGAAAAGCUCAGCGCUAAAUUCUUUUAGCCGUUGUCUCUAAGGAACUGUAGUGUGUAGACG
rnacentral:ncRNA from 1 species